rnacentral:lncRNA from 1 species
UUCUUUCCACUUCAGCCACACCUCACCUCCUUCUCCACUCUCUCUUUACGGUCUCACUCCCUCAUUACCAUCUUCGGACGCCUGAUGCCGGAGCACCGCCAUCGUCGCCCUUCUCUCUCCCUCCGUUCAGUCACUGCGCCAUAGACAACGAAACUCCCAACUCCGGCCGCCACCCAACUGCAAUCAAGCGCCUUCUUCCGCCGCUCUCCCUCCUCAGCGAACUCUUCUCUCCUCUCCGACUGACGCAGCGACCAGCGCUGCUGGCACUUCCUCCGUUCUCCUACAAGACAGCCACCGGUAAUCUGCCGCCGUUGCCCGCAACCCGAUACUGGUCUAGUCACUGCUACCAUCUAAAAAAUCGUCCAGCCAAGCGCUCCUGUCAGGUCUCACAAUAAUGGAUUCGUAAGAGCCCAUCACAGGUUUGAUUUCUUUGUCCUAAUAUCACCAUCUUCUUCUACUCUUUUUCUCUUCCCUAAACAGAUUCUUAAAUUCGAAAUAGUUGAAAUUUGGCUUCGAAUUUUGAGAAGAUUCUUAUUAUUUUGUGUUUGUUUCAACAUAUGUUAAAACACCCAAUUUCUAUUGUUUAAAUUUGUUAUGAGUUUGAAUGCUAAUUGUUUGACUAAUUUAUGAUGGAUAUUACAUGUUAAUCUUUGUUCUUGGAUUUGAAUCUCAUACCAGAUGAGAAUGAGCUAAUGAUGGGUACAAGUCCUUUUAGUUUUGGUUGUAACUAAUUAAACAAUUAGAGAUUGUAGAAAUCCAGUUGGAUUUUAAUUUUUGUUAUUGUAGCUUGCUGUACAUAUAUACACAACUGCACAAUUUGUUUGUUUCUUUACUAUCCAAAAUUGGUGUGCAAAUAUUAAUUUAUCUGCAAGGAUCUAUUAGAAAAAUAAUCUCAUAACUCAUUGGAUUUAAAUUUAUUACUUGUUUGACACCUAAUUUUGACUCUAUUUGCUCAUUUGGCGAGCCUGUAAAGUAGUUCACACACUCAACAUAUAGAGACAUGUCAAGUUGACCGUUAGACACAAACUCAAACCACAAAUAAAAGGUUAAUUUUAUUAUAUCACUUUUAUUAAUUACAACCCAUAUAAAUCUAUAAUCUAUCUAUAUCUAUAAUUUAUAGUCUAUAUUUAUAAUCUCUAUAUAUAGUCUAUAUUUAUAAUCUAUAAUAUAUUAAAAGUGUGAAGGACCUUACAAAUGUUAUUUGAACUUUUUGCCCUUCAUUAAAAGUCCUUGUUUUAAGCAAAAUUUGUUCACAUUUUAUAAAAUGGUUCUUGUUUUAGAAAAAAAGACAAGGUUGUUACUGUAAACUUAGAAGCAUCUUACAAAUUUAGGAAAUUAGCAAUCACCCUUUCAUUUAUAAUUUAGUUUGUAUUGCUUGAAGCCUUGAACUUUAUUUAUGGGAGAACUUUGUAUAAUUAGGUGGACUCCAAAAAUUUUUAUCAAGGAAAAAUUACACGGCUUAGAAAAUAUAGACUUCUUUUUUGUCGAUUAAAUAUAAUCCGUAAUAUUUCUUCUCCUUCUCCUUCUCAACAGUCUCUUCACUCUCUCUCAAUUUGUAAGCGCAAGUGGCUCUAUCACAAUAGGCUAAAUUUUUACUUUCUUUCAAUUUCGUUCUUCUCUAAUACUUGAUGAAGCAAAUAUUGACUGUUAUUUAUUUGUAUAGGCUAUUACAAUAGGUCGAGAUCCAACUUCAAGUGAGUUACAUUUGUACGUUCAUACACAUAAUCAUGAUGGUAAAUCUUUUGUUGCUGAGCGUACCCAAAUUCUCCACGUAAGUUCAAAUUUACAUCAUUAGAUAUACUCUUCUCUUAUUUUUCUUUUGUAUUGACAUUUGUCGAAAGUUCUUAUUAUACAUGAAAAUGAAAUAAGCAACAUGAAGUUGAGUCUAUUUUAAUAUCUCCACUUGUUAAUUACAGGAAAAGUAUGAAGAAAUUGUACGAAAAAAAAAGACAGACUGAAUCUGAAAUUGAUCAAUUGGAAUCGUGUUAUGAAGCUGCGGGAGGAGUAAAGAAGAAAAUGGUUAUGUAGUAACAAAGACUAAUUUUGAUGGAUGUGAAUUUGACAUUAGAUUAUUUUUGACAAAAUACUUGAAUUGUGGAUGUUUGGACACAAUUAUGUGAUGCAUUUUGCUAUCUAUAUAUUGUGAAUAUUCUAAUAUAAGUAAUUAUUUAUAUGAAUGUUGGUUAUUUUAAUCAUUCAAUAAUUUAUGCGUUUCAAUAAUUUUCUAACAAAAUUGUUAGUGACAAAAAAUUAGUGACAAAAGUAACUUUAGCGAUGGAUUAUGAAAUAUAAAUUUGAUCGCUAAAGAUGGCUGCUUAGUCGAUCAAACUAUGUUGUAACGGCUCAGCGAUAAAAUUUUCUGUCGUAAAUUUAGCCAUAACGAAAAUAAAUUUUGAAAAUAGCAACGGUAUAGCAAUGGAAUAUUCUAUCGAUAAAAUCGACAACCGAUAAGUUCGUCGUGAAGCGGUCACAAUUUUUGCAACGGAAUUUAUUUUUUUGUCGCUAAGAGGCUAGCAGUGAG